CUUGGAUGGCGCAGCUCAUAGAUGCCAUGUACAGCAGAGAUAUUACUCUAAGGAACAAUAUUGAGGAACUUCACGGGCAAAAUACUAAGAAGGAAAUCAAGUGAAUCAAGAAGAGAAGAAAGAGAGUGGAAAAAGAAAACUGAAAAUAAAAAUAUUUUCUAGACCCCUUGAAAUAAAGCUUGAAAAACCACAGUGCUUUGCAAAAUAUCACAUUCAAUUGCUAGCUAAAAAAAUAAAAAAAAAAAAAAAAAAAAAAAAAAAAAAAAAAAAAAAACAAGAUUCACUGGAAGUGCCAUUGGGACAGCAGAGCAGCAGAGGCAGGAGACCAUGGGGGUCCUGGGUCUGGGGCUCUGCUUUUCUUCUGAAGCUGAGCCAGGUUCAGUAUCAAGGAGCUGACAUCAAGACACUAAUUGUGAGGGAAAGGAAAGAACAUCUUUAG
rnacentral:lncRNA from 1 species